GAAUACGGCUGCCGCGUAGACUAUCUGCAGCCAGUGGGACGUCUUCGGUGCUUGCCCCACAAAAUAGUGCUUUUGGAAUAACCCGGCAGUUACGUCACACACCACCUAACGUUUUGGAUCGUGUCGUGUAUUGCCGGAGGAAAACACGUACAAGAACGGUCAUGAUGAUCAACUCUGUAUAGGUGAACGAGAUUGCCUUCAGCGGAAAUAGCUUUGGAAGCUCAUCGUUGAUAUAAUCUGGUGCCUUGUCAAGUCCAUUUCGGUGAAGGUGUACUGACAAAAAUUAGAGCUUUGACAGUCAGUUAAUGAGGAACGACAAAGUGAUUUCGAGGACAAAUCUUCCAGGUCAAGUUUUCCUUUGAAAAUCCAAGAAAAUAUGGAGACUGUGACACAAAAUGAGAAAAAGUUACAGGAUAGUGAGGAGACUCGUGUAGCGUUGCACUCAAACCAUAAGAGUCUCCUUCCAGCCAAAGAACUGAAUUCUCAGGCGAACAGCAACCACUUCUGCAAUGGAGAAGCUGACGCGUCCCCACAGUGCAACGGUGUGGAGCCUGUAUGCGAUUGGAGCGAGGGGGAGGAGGAGGACCUGGAGGACACGGAGCGGCUGCUGCGGCAGCACUCGG